CUCCGCCGGCGCGGAGCUCGGUGCUGAGCCGCGGCUGCACCAGUCUCGCUGGCAGCCAGGCCGCUGCAAAUAUCUCCCCUGGGCACAAGGGUGGGGCCGCGAGCGGGGCCUCGAAGCGCCCUUCUUCUUCCGCAUCACGGCGGCCAUUGCGAGCGGCGCUGCGCUGCGCUGCGCUGAGCCCGGCAGCGGAAGGUCUAGCCGAACGCUGCGGUGGGUGGCGGGCAUCCGAUGAGCGGUGGCAGCCGGGCCCUCCCUUCUCCCUCCCAGCGGUGUACGUGCGCGUUUGCGCCAAGCCCGCCGCCCCAGCCAGACAGUCAAGCUCGUCGGCCAGUCGCCCUAAAUAGAAGCUGGCCCGGCAUGGAGCGGGUGGCGGCACCGGCACCAGCCUUGGAGCAGGCAGCACCACUGAGCAAUGGCCUCCAGCCUCAGGAAGCAGGAGACCCUUCAUCUGUUCAGUUUGGGGCCCUGUUGAAACUGGAGAAUGCCUACAGACCAUCUUUAGCUGAAGCCAGGGCCCUGGCCUCUCUCUGGACAUGAAAGAAUCUGCUUUGCAAGCCAAGGUUGUAAUGCGGGAGGCAAAAGACUUGGCUACAGAUGGCAAAGGUGCAGAGCUGGACAUGAUGAAUGUGAUGACAGGUGGCAGGACCACGAACUGGGAUGCCACCCCUAUUGUGCUGGAUUCCAAGACGGCAAAUCAGGAUGGCAGCGUGACAGCUGAGGAUGCUACUGCUGCAGAACCGGAUAUCCAGACUGGAAAUCCGGAGGUCAGAGAGUUGGGUGGAGCUGACAGCAACGCCGGUUCACAGCCCACAGCUACAGAAAACAAGCAAGUGAGGCCGCAGCAUGAGGACGCGAUGCCGAGAGUCAGGAAUGAGGGCUGGGAUGCCAAAGCAGCCAAACUGAAUGCUGAGGAUGUGGGCUGGCAGAGUGGAGGCGGCUCUGGUUCGGAUGCCACGGAAGCCGCUACAAGGGAACUCACCAAGCUCAAACAAGAUAGCACUGCAGGUGAUGCUGACAUCAUUUCUCUUGACUGUGAAAUUCUUGGGUUUGGUCCCGAUACUGAUUUCUUGGGCCCUGAUGCUGAGACCUACAUGCAUUUCAUGCGGAGCCACCGCUGUUACGAUGCCAUUCCCACCAGCUCCAAACUGGUCGUAUUUGAAACCACUUUGCAGAUUAAGAAGGCCUUCUUGGCCCUGGUGGCCAACGGGGUGCGAGCCGCCCCUCUCUGGGACAGCAGGAAGCAGUGCUUUGUGGGUAUGCUGACCAUCACUGACUUCAUUAAUGUCCUACAGCGGUACUACCGAUCCCCUCUGGUUCAGAUAUAUGAGAUCGAGGAACACAAAAUUGAAACAUGGAGAGAGGUGUAUCUGCAAGGUUCCUUCAAACCCCUGGUGUUCAUCUCUCCCAACGACAGCCUCUUCGAUGCCGUUUAUUCCUUGAUCAAGAACAAGAUCCACCGGCUGCCUGUUAUUGAGCCCAUCUCGGGGAAUGUCCUCCAUAUCCUGACCCACAAACGAAUUCUCAAGUUUCUGCAUAUCUUUGGAGGGAUGCUUCCCAAGCCACGCUUCCUGCAGAAAACCAUUCAGGAACUGGGCAUUGGCACCUUCCGGGAUGUUGCCAUGGUGCUGGACUCGGCUCCUGUCUACACAGCCCUGGAGAUUUUUGUGGACCGCAGGGUCUCAGCGCUCCCUGUCAUCAACGAAAAAGGGAAGGUCGUGGGCCUGUACUCCCGCUUCGAUGUGAUUCAUCUGGCUGCCCAGAAGUCCUACAACAACCUGGACAUAAGUGUGGGGGAAGCACUGAAGCAGCGCAGCAUUUGCCUAGAGGGGGUGCUUACAUGCCAGCCUUACGAAACCAUGGAAACCAUAAUCGACCGCAUUGCCAAGGAGCAGGUCCAUCGCCUGGUUCUGGUGGAUGAGAAGAACACCCCACGGGGGAUUGUGUCCCUCUCUGACAUUCUCCAAGCCCUGGUGCUCACGCCUGCAGGUAUCGAUGCCCUAAACUCUUAAGCUGCUCGACGCUCCAUCCUUCCUCCACUUGUACCCUCCAUUUCCUCCGCUUCUCUCCAGCUCAGGUAUUGACCGCUAUUCACUUUGAUGAUGCUGCUCCACCACUGCACGCCUCUAUAACACAUAGGCGAAGGUGUGGGCAUCUCCAGCCCAUGAAGAGAGAGACAUCUUCUCCUAAUAGGCCACAGGGGUGCUCUGAUUUCAAGUUGCACUUUCCCGCCUCUCCACAACGGGGAAAGAUGUAGAAAGGAAGAGGAGAGGAGAAGUGCUAAGGGCAAAGGACCUGAAUUUCAGAACUGUCAGAGAGAUGUUCAACUCCUUAAACCUGUGCUAGCCUUGCUUCCAGAUGGCCAGAAAGCUAUUCAUAGUCUGGUGCUGCACCUGUCGCUUGCCUCCAUCGUUAGCACCUGCCACUGACCGGAGGGGACAGUAUCCAGAGUAUGCCAAGUUCCAACUUGAUUCAAGACCUCCUCAUUUCGGCCAAAAGCAUGUCCCGGAGGUGAUGGCUGCUGCUUCAGAUUCAAGGACAACGAAGAUGGCUUUUCACCCUCCUAAGAAGCAAGAGCCUACUAAGCAGAGACCUAUUAGUCCUGCUUUAAACCCACAUCCUAUUAGAAAACCUGGCUUUGCAGAAAAGGCAGGUUUUUAAAUACUGCCUUCAGCACAAGACUGAACAUGUCUUGCUUUUUAAAAAUCAUUGUACUUCAGCCGGCAAUAAAAUGUGGGCCUGGCUUUACCUUAAUACUGUCCAUGAGGGAAGGGAGACCUUAACAUUGAUAAACACUUUAGAUACCACCCUACCAGAUACUAGUGCCACUAUAAUUUAGAUUUGUGCUUGAAAAAGCACAAAGCCAAGGGCAUUGGCUGGAAUUACAGCCUUUCCCAGAAAACCUGUCCUGCCUCUUAACACUGUUGAUUCCUUAUGCAAGCACAGCAUAAUUUGCAUAUGGGCAGUAUCCAGUAUGAUGCUAUUGCUAAAGUUCUUAGCAAAUAGAUCUCUGCUUGUAUUCUAUACUAAUACUAUAGCAUUUGAAUGAGAUUGUUAUAAUAUCUCUUUCCUUUAUGAUUAGAAGAUGGCCAAAAAAAAAAGAUUCUAGUGUUUGCCACCCAAUGGUGGAUAAACUUUCCUAUUAAGUCAAAGGAAUUAACAAGGCUUUGCUCUUGUCCAUUUGCUGCACUUAAAGGAAGUACACAGACGACAUCCUUAAGACCUCUUUGUGAGGUUUCACUCCAAGAAAGGGAAUGGUUUCACUUCCUGUUGCUCUUAUGUCCAUGCAAAGAAUGUUUUGUAUUAAACACACACUGUAGAAAAGAAGCAAUAUUAGCUUGGCCAAGCAUGAGGUAAUUCAACAGGGGUGGGGGAGCUUGGUGCCUACCUGGUGUUGGAAUCCCAACUCAGCCACUGGCCCCAGCCAGGUCAGGGAUGCUAGGAGCUGUAGUUCAACAGUACCAGGAAGGCACUAGAUCCCCUACCACACUGGAAUAUUCCAAGGAGCGCUGUAGGAAUUAACACCAAGAUUCUGAAGAAACCUGCACACAUUAAACUCUUCUUUAAGUGCAAUCUUACUUCAACUGCACCCUUCCCCAACUAGGUGGCCUCUAGAAGUUUUUGAUUACUGCAUCCAUCAUUCCUGUCCACUGCUGAUGCUAGGUGGGGCAGAUGGGUCUUGUAGUCAAAAUCUUGUAUAGGCAGUGGGGGAAGCAGCUGGGCAAGGCCACCAAGAGCAAAAUGCUUCACGUAGUACAUCCAAGACAAGGCUGGAAAAGAAUUUUGAAAGCCCCUACACCUUUCAUUGCUACAACAAAUGACUUUCUUCCUUUCCCCAGUCAUCACAUAACACCAUCAAACUGUCAUGCAAGUGUAACAAAUAAUGGACAAAAAGAGGGGGUGGGGAGAAAAAUUGGGUGCUUCUCUGGCUCCCUUGGCCCCACCCCAUGCAUAGGCAGCCACAGCGGUGUCCCGAGAAGAGGCCUGAGUUCUCCUGUUCCACUCCCAAGUCUUUGAUUCACCAGGAGAAAGUCCAGGAUUUUGCUCUUCUGAGGAUUCCCAUUCACAGAGCAGGGCAAAGUUGCAAUGACCCCUGUCGAGAAAUAAGGCAAAGCAUCCACUUCCAUCACCUGUGACAAACUCAGGGCUGAGUUGGCAGUGGGAAAGAAAAGGUUCCCGGGUGGGGCUGAGGGUUCAUAGUGGGAAUAAGAGCAUGCUCUUCGUUAGUGAAGGGAAUGGGGGUCAGCCACAGUGGCUUCCUUAUUUUGGCGGUGGUACAAACUUGCCCAUCUUCUUGGUGUGGGAGCCACUCCUGGCAGGAGACAAAAGCAGAAGAGAUCGGUCCAUGGUUGAACAAUUCCUCUACUGGCACAACCAUGUACAUCUGGGAGGCAAAAGACAGGCUGGGACACGAUACGGUACUCCCAUCUUAGACAGAGCCAGGCAUCUACAUGUCUAGCCUUUCCCACGAGUCUUGGAUUGGCCUUCCCAAUAAAAUCGUUCCACACCCUGGUGCAGCAUUACCAAGGCCCCCACCCUGCCACGUACAACCUGGUUGUGUGCCAGUUCCUCAGAUCACUCACGAAGGUGGGAAGGUGGCAGUACCAAUGCAGUCCCGCAGCUUAUUUGGGAGGCAGCCACUUCCUGGGCUCAUCCGGAUGGCAUAGAUUUCAGGGGGAGAAAGAGGAUGGAAGAGACGCUCUGUGAAUGGAGGGAAAGGGCAGGACUAGAGGCAGAUCCUUCACCCUGGUCUUUUUGAGGCUUCCAGGAACUGAGAUAUGCUGGGAUCCUCCCUCACCUUUCUUCCUCCCCAGAACACCCCAUCUAACUCACCUUGCUCAUAUGUUACAUUAGGUUUUUGCGCUGAUGGCACUAGGUUUUCCUGCUCUUCUCCCACAAAACGUCUCCAGAAUUUCAGGGGCAAUGCCAAGAGAUGGGAAACCACCUGUGGCAAAGAACUUGCAUCAGCCGUUGUCAGCUUCCCACCAUGGAGCCCAAUCAGCUAGCUCACCCUCACAUGUCAUGUUCUGUAUAUACCAAGCCCCCGUUUCUGCACAGGUUCAGAUGAUCACACAGAAAUCCUGAACUUGGUUGGGGCCAACAUUUGCAAAAACAUGAGCUUGAAAGAUAAUCUUGGCUAAUCCUAAACCAAUAUUUUAAGCUAUACCUUCAAAAUUAUUCUCUGGAUUUUACUACUUGAGGUGCAGAGGCACUAAUUAAGCAGAAGCCAAUUAAAUGCUUAAUGAUAAUCUUUGGGGUUCUUUUCCUCACAAGAAAUCUGCUGAUGCUCUGAUGAGAUUUUAUGGACUCACAAUUCAUAGACAUGGUUUGGUGUGCUGCACUGUGCAAUCCCACAUGCUCACAAAAUUUUGUACUGGGUGAGAAAUGGUCCUCCUGAGAAUAUAAGCUGUUUCUUUUUGUUAAAAAUAAGCAUACCUUUAGCCUUUGCAGUACAAAUAAAGGGUUGAAAAUAUG